rnacentral:rRNA from 1 species
GACGAACGCUGGCGGCGUGCUUAACACAUGCAAGUCGAACGGAAAGACCCUGCUUUUGUGGGGUGCUCGAUUGGCGAACGGGGGAGUGACACAUGAGUAACCUGCCCUUGACUUUGGGAUAACUUCAGGAAACUGGGGCUAAUACAGGAGAGGAGCUCCUGCUGCGUGUGGGUGAUUGGAAAGUUUCGGCGGUUGGGGAUGGACUCGCGGCUUAUGAGCUUGUUGGUGUGGUAGUGGCUUACCAAGGCUUUGACGGGUAGCCGGCCUGAGAGGGUGACCGGCCACAUGGGGACUGAGAUACGGACCAGAAUCCUACGGGAGGCAGCAGUGGGGAAUAUUGCACAAUGGGCGGAAGCCUGAUGCAGCAACGCCGCGUGCGGAAUGACGGCCUUCGGGUUGUAAACAGCUUUCGAAUGUGACGAAGCGUUCGUGACGGUAAUGGGUAAAGAAGCCACGGCUAACUACGUG